rnacentral:lncRNA from 1 species
UUUUUGAGAGAGAGGAGAGAGAGAGAGAGAGAAUUUUUUAAUAUUUAUUUCUUUUUUUUUUUUAGUUAUUGGCGGACACAACAUCUUUGUUUGUAUGUGGUGCUGAGGAUCGAACCCGGGCAGCACGCAUGCCAGGCGAGCGCGCUACCGCUUGAGCCACAUCCCCAGCCCCUUAAAUGUGUAUUUCUUUAACUACAUAGAAAACGUUAUUUUCCCAUAUUUAUUGGCCUUUUCUAUUUAUUCUUUUGAAACUUGCUUAUUCAUAUUGUUAUUCUCUGGGAGAACUGGCCCCUUUUUUGGCUUACAAGUUCUUUAUGAAUUAAGGAUGUCCAUCCUUUGUCAUAUAAUUAUUCUUAGUGCACCAUUUGCCUUUUCAUACAACUAAUGUAUUACUUGUUUUCUUUAGGAGUUUAUCUUUGCAUGUGUGCUUGAAUAUACUUUUCUUAACCCAUGUAUAUUAACCCCUAUUUUCUCAGUAUUUUGAAAUUUUUAUAGUUAUUUUUUAGCUUAAAAAGAAUUUUAUCUUGUUUAUAUAACCUGAACUCAUUUUCUGCAUAACUUUGGGGUGAAAAGGAAAUUUUUAAUCUAUCUCAAGUUUAUUUAGGGAUAUGUAUGAGAUAGAGAUUCCAUUGUUAAUUCUUGUGAAGAGUUUACUGAUUGGACAGAUUGGUUCAGUAUCAUCAGCCACCAUUUUCCUUCUGAUUUGUAAUGAUAUUUUUAUAGAAUAUUAAAUACUUGUAUGUCUUUUAUACAUUGGGCUUGUUGCUGGGCCUUCUGAUAUUUUUUUUCCAUGCAAUCAUUAUGGCUUUCAUUGGUGUUAAUAUUCUGUAGAAUAAGUUCUCCCUUUUUUGAAAUUUGUGAAAUACAGCUACAGAAAAGUAUAUAAAAUGUGUGCAGUUUACUGGAUAAAGCAACAGCUGUGUAAUCACAAAGCUGAUGCGGAGGAACUGCUGCCAGCCCUCCAGAUAACUCGCUGUGUGUUCCCUCUUAGUACCUCCUCUGUCCCUCAGAGGUCAUACCAUCCUGAUUGUGGUAACCCCCAGCCCCCGCAUCUUUUUAAAAGGUAUUUUACCAGUUAUGUGUUUAACAAUAAUUAGUCUGUCUUGCUCACUGUUGACUUGUGUAAAGAUGGAAUCAUAUCUUGGAUCUGGUGUCUUUCACUAAAAAUUCUUAGAAAAUUCAUGUCACAUGUAGGGGUGUGUGUGUGUGUGUUUCCAUUGCUGUGUAAUAUGUGCUAUUUCAUUAAUAUCACUAUUUCUUUAUUCUGCUCUGAUGGACACUUCGGUGAUAUUUCCAGGAUUUGACCAUAAUAAACAUGCUGCGAUGAGCAUCUUUGUGCCCAUAAAC